AUGGCAGGUGAAAAAGUUGAGAAGCCGGAUACUAAGGAGAAGAAGCCUGAAGGCAAGAAGGCUGACACUAGUGGCAAGGUGAAAAGGGGUAACUUCAAGGCUAAAAAUCCAAAGGCCGAAAUCCUGUCAAUUGUCAGAAGAAUUGGCAGAUAUGCCUGAUCUGCUAUGUAUUCUAGGAAAGACAUGCAUAAAAGGAAAUACUCACCCAAUGAAUCCAAGAUUGAAAACAGAAAGAGGUUCUUGCAGCCAUUAGAAAAUCAGUUGGCGGUGACAAGAACAGUGGUACCCAGGUGAUUAAACUUCACAAAUUGCCUUGAUAUUAUCUUAGGGAAGACGUGCCUUGAAAGCUGUUGAGCCACAGCAAAUAACUGCAAGCCAGUUAGCAUGUGAGAAAACUGCAAGCCAGCUCCCAGGAGCACUCUGAUCAUCCUCACUGGCCGCCACAGAGGCAAGAAGGUGAUUUUCCUGAAGCAGGUGGGCAUUGGCUUGUUACCUGUAACUGGAUCUCUGGUCCUCAGUCGAGUUCCUCUACGAGGAACACACCAGAAAUCUGCCAUCGCCACCUCCACAAAAAUUGCUCUCAGCAAUAUGAAAUCCUCAAACAUCAUACUGAUGCUUACUUUAAGAAGCAGCAGCUGUGGAAGCCCAGCCAUCAGGAAGGUGGGGUUUUCAACACCAAAAAAGAGACAUAUGAAAUUACAGAGUAGUGUAAGGUUGAUCAGGAAGCUGUGGACCUGCAAAUGUUACCAACAAUCAAAGCUAUUCCUCAGUUCCAGGGCUACCUGCAAUCUGUGUUUGCCCUGAUGAAUGGAAUUUACCCUCACAAAUGGGUGUCCUAA
rnacentral:lncRNA from 1 species